UCGUGCACUCCACCUUCGACGCUCUCCUACUCGGUAGAUCUGCCCAGACCAUUGGUUGUCGUCGCCUCCAUUUUUGGACUCGAAAAAAUCAAGAAGCAGGGUGAAUUCAUGGGAAUCACUCUACUCCUCCUUUAUGAGAAGAAAUCGGUGAUAGAUGGGUUCAUUCCUGCUGGUCGCGCCCCAUAUUACCAUCCGUCUUUGCGAGCAGGUUCAGUCGUGAGAGUCUCAUGAUUUGAAGUUGCAAGAUGUACAAAUAUGUACAAGAUUACGGAACACCCUUUCGUGAUCCGGUUCAUCCCCCAAACCACCAUUGAUGAAGUAAUCGAGAAUGCUCUCAUCAUCAACCUAGAGAAGUUCAUGCUGCGGAAGUUUGACCCUUUUCAAGCUCUCGCUAACACUAAUUUAGAACUCCCUGUUGUUGUUGGGCAAUUUCAAUCUGUCCAAAGUUUGGACCUGAAGGACGCUACAGUGACGAGUCAAGUUAUUGUUCGUUUCGUGAUUGAACCGAGCAGUGUUUAGGGGUCUCUUCAACUCAGGUGAAAGGGCAGAGUCUGCCAUGGUGGUCACUACUGUGAAUCCCAAAAUAUUUGGAGGGAACCUAUACCUCAACUCAACACCAGCAACGAAAUUUUAUUUUGACCUAGUACUUCAAGCAAUCACAGAGUUCACAGCCAUGUAUCAACUCAUUAGAUGUUUCGGUUGAACUAAUAAUUAGUCUUGUGGUUACUUGACGUAUUAUGCCAUCUGGUUCCAGCUUAGAAGGCCCAGUUGGAGACGUUUUCCCAUGUAUUGAUACCAAAGACGAAGAGAUAAAAAAGAAGGAAGUUGUCUCAAUAGGAGAUCUUAACAAGUUCAUCUCCAAUUCUGAUGACCAGCCUUGGUGAAGACACAUGAAGUGAUUUUAUUUGCAAAGCUCGGGUUGUUGAGGUGUUGCAACAAAAUGGCUGGUCUUUCGUCUCUUGCUCUGGAUGCAGCAUGGAGCUUGAAAAAUCAGGGACUUCUCUCUAUUGCAACCGAUGUGUUAAUCCGAACAUUACCGAAGUUAUAAAAGAGAUGCUUAAACUCACUAAGCAAGAUGCAGCUGCUCUGACCCUAGAUGAGAUGAAUGUUGGUGGCGGUGUGGAACUCCCACAAUGCCUGAAAGAACUAGCUGGAAAAUAUUUUGUAUUUCAGAUACGUGUGAAACCAUUCAAUUUCACCCCCAACCACCGUACUUUCACUGUUUUUGCAAUCGUUAAUCACACCAACCCGAGAUUUUCAAUACCAAUGAAGCACCAUUUGUUCAAGAGGAAGGUGGCGAACCAUCCCCAUCUGUCACCUACAAGGUUGGGGGUAAAGCCAAUGAACCAUAUCUAUCCGGUGUUGAAGGCAAAGAGGGUGGCCGUAAACGCCCCCACAAUUGAAGUUACAAAGCUGUUAAGUGUUAACCCAAGUCUGCUUCUGUGUCUUUACAAUUUCAGGACUUACUUUGCAUUUCCUAUUUCAGACUCUUAUAUUUUUUUUCAAAUUUCCAGGUUUUUUUUGCCAUUUACGGCUAACUAACUCCAUGAGGAGAACAAUUUUAACGAUUUAAUAUAAAAUGGCCGGUUGACAGAA